GGGGCGACGCUGGAUUUGCCCCUCUUCUGGGGAGAUGGGGUGGUUGAUGGGUCUGUGCUCCCCUCAUGGUCCCACCAACAUCUGGGAGGAGCUGGUUUUCAUGGGGAAGGGAGGUUUCUCCGCUCUGACCGUGGGGUGGGGGCCAAAGCCAAGGACCAUGACUAACGGCAACGUGAAGAACCACCUUCCAUGGGGCCUGAUUCACCCUGUCCUUGCCCGGAUUCGAGUCUUUCCUCCAGGAAUGUUUGAUGGUGCAGCACGAAGGGCUGAGAUCACCCUCCUGGCAAGGCCCUGCUGCGGGGCGAGCCCCAGUCAUCUGGCAGCGCGAUGCUUACUGCCGUCUCCAAGGCAACCCUCCAUGCUCCUCUUCUUCUUCUUGGGAAGCUUGCCGUGUUCCUGAAGAAGCCGUCAUCCUUCUUACUGCUCAUCAGUGAGUAGUGAGAGACUCCUACCUCGUUGGAGAAAGCUGGAGCCACUGUCUUGGAGCAGCUGGACUCCAAGGAGGUGAUGGUCCCUGCCAGCGAGCUGGGGAGCCCGUGUGAGAACCAAAUCAGCAGAGGGAGAGUGGCUCAGACGUGAUUGCCAAGCCCUGACACGAGUGGGGAUUUGAAGGCUGGAGAUAACUCGCUGCUUCUGUGCUCGCAAGCCCUAAAAUGGUUGGGAGGAAGGAGCCUGGGUAGGUCAUGAGGGAUGUUGGGGGCUGUGCAGCUGCCUUUUUUUUAUCUAAUUGCUUUUUUUCAGAGCUCAGAAGUGUUGGGGACAGGCUGGCACUGCUUUACUGGUGGGCAGGCACGUGUGUUGGUGCAAAAGGCUGUCGUCUCCCAGAUAAGACAAGCCCUAAAAUGUCUCUAAAGUGGUUUUUUUUCCCCCCUCCUUUCAGCUCUGUUUGGGUUUCCUGUGC